GAACGCUGGUGGCGUGCUUAACACAUGCAAGUCGAACGAGGUCCAUGGAGCUUGCUCCGGAAGGCCUAGUGGCGAACGGGUGCGUAACACGUGAGAAACCUGCCCCGAUCUCUGGGAUAACAGUUGGAAACGACUGCUAAUACCGGAUGCCGUCACACCGCUUCAUGGCGGAGUGCCGAAAGAUUUAUCGGAUCGGGAGGGUCUCGCGGCCUAUCAGCUAGUUGGAGAGGUAACGGCUCACCAAGGCAUCGACGGGUAGCUGGUCUGAGAGGAUGAUCAGCCACGCUGGGACUGAGACACGGCCCAGACUCCUACGGGAGGCAGCAGUGGGGAAUCCUGCACAAUGGGCGAAAGCCUGAUGCAGCAACGCCGCGUGCGGGAAGAAGGCCCUAGGGUUGUAAACCGCUUUCAGUAGGGAAGAAAAUGACGGUACCUACAGAAGAAGGUGCGGCCAACUACGUGCCAGCAGCCGCGGUGACACGUAGGCACCAAGCGUUAUCCGGAUUUAUUGGGCGUAAAGAGCUCGUAGGCGGUUUGGUAAGUCGGGUGUGAAAACUCUGGGCUCAACCCAGAGAGGCCACCCGAUACUGCUAUGACUAGAGUACGGUAGGGGAGCGGGGAAUUCAUGGUGUAGCGGUGAAAUGCGCAGAUAUCAUGAGGAACACCAGCGGCGAAGGCGCCGCUCUGGGCCGUAACUGACGCUGAGGAGCGAAAGCAUGGGUAGCAAACAGGAUUAGAUACCCUGGUAGUCCAUGCCGUAAACGUUGGGCACUAGGUGUGGGUCUCAGCCAACGAGAUCCGCGCCGUCGCUAACGCAUUAAGUGCCCCGCCUGGGGAGUACGGUCGCAAGACUA
rnacentral:rRNA from 1 species